CCCUGGACCGCGGGAAGUCGAGCACUGGCCACAGGAGGCUCCGCCCACUUGUGCCUGCGGGGGAGGCGGCCCUGGGCGGGGACAGUGCCCCGCUCCGUCCAGCCUGGCCCUCCAGGGUCCUGGGCGCGGUUCGUGGCCUCACCCGCACUUGAUGCAGCAGCUGCAGCCCUCGGCGCUCCCAAAAGCUCGCCAGUGGCCCGCGACCCGAGGGCAUCGCGGCUGCUUCCGCACCGCACCGCACCGCACGGCUCAGGCGCGCGUUCUGCGCCUGCGCGCUUCCACCCGGCGAUGGCCCGCGGGCUUCCAGUGAAGGGGCAGCUGGGGGGGGAUGGGUCAAGGCCACUCCUACAGCUGCUGCCCUGACCCCCACCCCUGCUGCACCUGCUGCUCUCGCCCAGCCCUCGGCCGCACCUGUCCUCGCCGUCCCCACCCCAGCCCCCGGCUCUGGCUCUGCGCUGACCAGCAGACGGACAGCGCCAGGCGAGGGCUUUCCGCGCCUGACCACGCUCCCCGUGACCGCACAGCCUCAGGGGUGGGGCCGGGACGCACCCUCGCCCUCCUCUUCCAUCCUCAACGCCCCCUACACACACCCGGACUCGCCCCGCCCCACGCCCGGACCGGCCCCUACCCCCGCCCGCAUGCAGCUGAGCCUGGUUCCAGCCCAGGCUUCCCGGGCCGCGCCUGCCUCACACACGUCCGGAGGACAGCACGGCGGAGGAACCGCCUGGCCUCACGGGGGGCUGCUGUGCGACCACAAGGGAGUUCACCAUUUUCACAUCACACAACAUCAAACAAACUGAGGUCCGUCUCCCCAGCACCUGCCACCUACCCACAGCUGGAGACAGGAGAGUUAAAUAACCACUACACCGCAAGCAACAGCUCCAACUGCCUACGCGUCACUCGUGGAAUACGUCGCUCACAGACGCCAGUGGCUCAGCCUUCCUGCAGCUGUGUCUGCCCGUGGACCGGGGGCACAGUGCAGGCGGUGUCGCCUCUGCUCCUGGGCUCAGGGACACUGUCCGCAAAGGAGACCCCUUCACAGGCCCGAGGAUCUGCAGCCCGGCGGACUCUCUGA
rnacentral:lncRNA from 1 species